GGAGUGGAGAGGUGUCAGGUAACAUUAUUCACUCAUGAGUCACUGUUUUUACCUGCCAGUGAAGAACCGGAAGAAUACAGUUUGAGUGGAUUCUACUUAAAUUUUUAAGAGAUAAACAUUGAAAAGAUACUAAUCAAAACGCAUUUGCACCUGUGAUGAGGUGAGUGACCAUGGCGCACCACUAUGAUGGUCUGUCCCACUGUAAGCUGGCCCUGGCAUUUGCCAUAUUAAUGGACCUGCUAGGCGUGUCUGCUCUGCUGGUGGGGGUUUUCGCCCCAUUAGAGAUUAAGGGACAGGACUUUGGGGACCUGCUGGUGUACUCUGGGGUUCUACUAAUGCUCAUGUCCCUGGGAGGAUGGGUCAUGUGGUACAGCGGGAACCUUGAGGGCCUGACCUCCAGGAAGGAGCUAGGGGGAACCAUGGGUGCCAUGGACCGGCUAGCCCGCUCCCUCAGCCGCAGGAUACGACUCCCCAGGAGCCACAGCAGCCCCUCAUGAUGCUUCAUGGUCAGGCGUAGGAGAAGGGUUUGGUUGUAAGGGAGGGUCCUCACUGUCUCCAUUAGACUAUUGGCAGUCAAACUGCCUGGGGGUCUGGGAGUGGUAUUGUUGGCAUUGGGGGAGUGCUAUUAAAUGAACCAGGCUAGGGCCCGUGAUGUGAAUGGGGAAAAGCGGGGUUGGGAGGAGCGCCCUUCUCAAAUCAAACAGUAAUAUGCGCCGCUCGGUCAUGUUGUCAUCAAGGCAGCAUAUGUUCACAUUUUCAAACUAGUUUUCAUUAGGUAAAGCCUUUUUAUCAAAAGCAAUCAUUUGUGUAUGUAAAAACCCAGAAUCCUACUCAUUACUCCACGUGAUUAACCUGUCACUUUUUUUUGGAGCUGACUUCGCCGUCGGCCAAAACGGGGCACUGGGCUCACGACCGGGAGGGAGCCCGAUUCCAAAACAAAUGUAAUCAACCCUAACCCGCUUCACCUGGAGCAGGAAUAAGAUUCAGUUUAAGAUACAUUUUUUUAUAGAACUCCCUCAUUCUUUAACCCAAGUUCCACCGCCUCCACGGUGGAAGAGACUUACAUACUGCUAGUUCACUAGUGUCAAUUGCAAGAUGGAAAAACGGUUGGUCAUUGCUUUUUAUUGUGACUUGACCUUUGCUGAAACACCUCUGGUAGAUAACAGAAUUGUACAGACUGUCUGAAUAGGAUUUUAAACGAUCAAGCAUGGAGGAUAUUCAGAGUUCACUUGGUUGGUUUGUUUAGGCUUGAAUCUGUACAUAAUUGGUCUUUAUAGUCAUAAUAAUCCAUGUGUUGUGGUUUUCUUUGAAUCGUAGUAGGGUUUUUGUAUUAAAUUAUAAAAUUGUAUUAAAACUAUAAAAUAACCUAC